AUUGAAGAAACUAAUAUGCAAUUUUAUAUAUGAAUUUGAAAAAUUUGUAAGGUACUCCGGCAGUUCGGCAAUAGAUUUAAAAAUAUUAAUCUAUGCUUUGGCAAAUAUCUCAGGAAGUCAAGAACAUGAUUGAAAAUACAAAAGUAUAUAAUGAUAUAAUAUUCAGUAACAAAAAAGGUUUAAUGAUUCCGUGACGACAUAUAAUUAUUAUUAAAAUAAAUCCAAUCGGCAAAACAUAAAAAAUUCAUAUUUACACAUAUAAGUCUAUCAAACACGGUAGGAUAUUCUGCAUAAUAGUAUAGUUGACACUGACCACGGGGACGAAUUUAAUACUGGCGAACCCAAUUGAUCACAUCAAUAGCGAUUCAUUAAAAUAGUUCCUCAUGGACAUAGACGUUAUUAUGUUUAUUCAUUACUCGUUCAGAACAAGGAAACCAUAAAACUGGCUGUCGACUGAAUAUUUAUCACCAGGAACUAGACCAUUGUAAAUACUUAAAUACAUAGUGAAUAAUAUAAAAACACACAGAGUUCAAUAUUUGUAAACGAUAAAACGGUCGGAUAAUUUUUUCACCUAACAUAUAUAAUAUUAUGUAGCAACUGAUUUACGAUAGUAACAAUUUAGUCAUUGAUGGUUUCAUAAAAAAAAGACAAACAUACUACACACAUGGGUGGCUGGCUGUUGUAGAUGAGAGGGAAGGUAGAG